rnacentral:rRNA from 1 species
GACGAACGCUGGCGGCGUGCUUAACACAUGCAAGUCGAACGAAGUGGCGAACGGGAUAGUAACGCGUAAUCAACCUGCCCUUCAGAGGGGGACAACAACUGGAAACGACUGCUCAUACCGCAUACUGAAGGUGGGGAGUGCGUCUGAUUAGCUAGUUGGAGGGGGAACGGCCCACCAAGGCGAAGGUCAGUAGCCGGUGUGGGAGGAUGAACGGCGAAAUUGGGACUUAGACACGGCCCCAACUCCUACGGGAGGCAGGCGGUGGGAAUCUUUCGCAAUGGACGAAAGUCUUACGCAGCAACGCCGCGUGGGGGGUGACGGCCUUCGGGUUGGAAAGCUCUGUUAAGCGGGACGCGGUACCGAAAUAGAAAGCCACGGCUAACUACGUGCCAGCAGCCGCGGUAAUAC